rnacentral:rRNA from 1 species
GACGAACGCUGGCGGCGUGCUUAACACAUGCAAGUCGAGCGGUAAGGCCCUUUCGGGGGUACACGAGCGGCGAACGGGUGAGUAACACGUGGGUGACCUGCCCUCAGCUCUGGGAUAAGCCUGGGAAACCGGGUCUAAUACUGGAUAUGACUCCAUGACGCAUGUUGUGGGGUAGGAAAGCCUUGUGCGGCUGAGGAUGGGCCCGCGGCCUAUCAGCUUGUUGGUGGGGUGAUGGCCUACCAAGGCGACGACGGGUAGCCGGCCUGAGAGGGCG